rnacentral:rRNA from 1 species
UCCUACGGGAGGCAGCAGUGGGGAAUUUUGGACAAUGGGCGAAAGCCUGAUCCAGCAAUGCCGCGUGUGUGAAGAAGGCCUUCGGGUUGUAAAGCACUUUUGUCCGGAAAGAAAUCGCACUUACUAAUAUUAGGUGUGGAUGACGGUACCGGAAGAAUAAGGACCGGCUAACUACGUGCCAGCAGCCGCGGUA